AUAUUUCCUUGCCUACAACCUCUCUGGAGAGCUCGCAGUGCAGGAUGACAACCUUGAUGACAAGGUUAGAAACUGGAGUCUUAUCAUCGGUAGGACUUUCCUUAAAUGAAGGUCUCAACCUCUAUCCUGAACAAGUGGGAUCUUGCAGAAUGGACUCAGGGGCCCGGGUUGGGCAAGGCUGAUCCGUGAAAGAGAGUCUAGAGGCAAAACUGAAGUCACAAACAGGCACAGACUGAUCAAGAUGUCUCAAAGAUGCCUUCAAAAAGGUAAGGCAUGAAGAGGCAAUCCAGGUAUAAGACCUUGGGAUGGCAUCAGAUUUGACUUCGAGGCUGGGA
rnacentral:lncRNA from 1 species